CAGUAGCCGCGGUAAUACCGAGGGUGCAAGCGUUAAUCGGAAUUACUGGGCGUAAAGCGCGCGUAGGUGGUUCGCCAAGUUGGAUGUGAAAUCCCCGGGCUCAACCUGGGAACUGCAUCCAAAACUGGCGAGCUAGAGUAUGGUAGAGGGUGGUGGAAUUUCCUGUGUAGCGGUGAAAUGCGUAGAUAUAGGAAGGAACAUCAGUGGCGAAGGCGACCACCUGGACUGAUACUGACACUGAGGUGCGAAAGCGUGGGGAGCAAACAGGAUUAGAUACCCCUGUAGUCCCUGUCUCUUAUAC
rnacentral:rRNA from 1 species